rnacentral:rRNA from 1 species
UCGUACGCACUGGCCCAACUGAUUGAUGGUGCUUGCACCUGAUUGACGUUGGAUCACCAGUGAGUGGCGGACGGGUGAGUAACACGUAGGUAACCUGCCCCGGAGCGGGGGAUAACAUUUGGAAACAGAUGCUAAUACCGCAUAACAACAAAAGCCACAUGGCUUUUGUUUGAAAGAUGGCUUUAGCUAUCACUCUGGGAUGGACCUGCGGUGCAUUAGCUAGUUGGUAAGGUAACGGCUUACCAAGGCGAUGAUGCAUAGCCGAGUUGAGAGACUGAUCGGCACAAUGGAACUGAGACACGGUCCAUACUCCUACGGGAGGCAGCAGUAGGGAAUCUUCCACAAUGGGCGCAAGCCUGAUGGAGCAACACCGCGUGAGUGAAGAAGGGUUUCGGCUCGUAAAGCUCUGUUGUUGGAGAAGAACGUGCGUGAGAGUAACUGUUCACGCAGUGACGGUAUCCAACCAGAAAGUCACGGCUAACUACGUGCCAGCAGCCGCGGUAAUACGUAGGUGGCAAGCGUUAUCCGGAUUUAUUGGGCGUAAAGCGAGCGCAGGCGGUUGCUUAGGUCUGAUGUGAAAGCCUUCGGCUUAACCGAAGAAAGGGCAUCGGAAACCGGGGCAACUUGAGUGCAGAAGAGGACCGCGGAACUCCCUGUGUACCGGGGGAAUGCCUAAAAAUAUGGGAAAAACACCCCUGGCGAAGGCGGCUGUCUGGUCUGCAACUGACGCUGAGGCUCGAAAGCAUGGGUAGCGAACAGGAUUAGAUACCCUGGUAGUCCAUGCCGUAAACGAUGAGUGCUAGGUGUUGGAGGGUUUCCGCCCUUCAGUGCCGGAGCUAACGCAUUAAGCACUCCGCCUGGGGAGUACGACCGCAAGGUUGAAACUCAAAGGAAUUGACGGGGGCCCGCACAAGCGGUGGAGCAUGUGGUUUAAUUCGAAGCUACGCGAAGAACCUUACCAGGUCUUGACAUCUUGCGCUAACCUUAGAGAUAAGGCGUUCCCUUCGGGGACGCAAUGACAGGUGGUGCAUGGUCGUCGUCAGCUCGUGUCGUGAGAUGUUGGGUUAAGUCCCGCAACGAGCGCAACCCUUGUUACUAGUUGCCAGCAUUAAGUUGGGCACUCUAGUGAGACUGCCGGUGACAAACCGGAGGAAGGUGGGGACGACGUCAGAUCAUCAUGCCCCUUAUGACCUGGGCUACACACGUGCUACAAUGGACGGUACAACGAGUCGCAAGCUCGCGAGAGUAAGCUAAUCUCUUAAAGCCGUUCUCAGUUCGGACUGUAGGCUGCAACUCGCCUACACGAAGUCGGAAUCGCUAGU